GAAAUCCAGAGUGGGUAAGGCCU
rnacentral:miRNA from 12 species